rnacentral:rRNA from 1 species
AGAUUGAACGCUGGCGGCAGGCCUAACACAUGCAAGUCGAGCGGCAGCACGGGUACUUGUAUCUGGUGGCGAGCGGCGGACGGGUGAGUAAUGCCUAGGAAUCUGCCUGGUAGUGGGGGAUAACGCUCGGAAACGGACGCUAAUACCGCAUACGUCCUACGGGAGAAAGCAGGGGACCUUCGGGCCUUGCGCUAUCAGAUGAGCCUAGGUCGGAUUAGCUAGUUGGUGGGGUAAUGGCUCACCAAGGCGACGAUCCGUAACUGGUCUGAGAGGAUGAUCAGUCACACUGGAACUGAGACACGGUCCAGACUCCUACGGGAGCAGCAGUGGGAAUAUUGGACAAGUGGACGAAGCCUGAUCCAGCCAUGCCGCGUGUGUGAAGAAGGUCUUCGAUUGUAAAGCAACUUUAAGUUGGGAAGGAAGGCAGUUACCUAAUACGUAUUCUGUUUUGACGUUACCGACAGAAUAAGCGACG